AGCCCCGUGGUGUAGCGGACUAGCAUAGAGCCCUUUGGAGGCUUUGACCUCGGUUCGAAUAUUUCCGAGCGGGGCUA
rnacentral:tRNA from 1 species